UACGUAGGGUGCGAGCGUUAAUCGGAAUUACUGGGCGUAAAGCGUGCGCAGGCGGUUUUGUAAGACAGAUGUGAAAUCCCCGGGCUUAACCUGGGAACUGCGUUUGUGACUGCAAGGCUAGAGUACGGCAGAGGGGGGUGGAAUUCCUGGUGUAGCAGUGAAAUGCGUAGAUAUCAGGAGGAACACCGAUGGCGAAGGCAGCCCCCUGGGCCUGUACUGACGCUCAUGCACGAAAGCGUGGGGAGCAAACAGG
rnacentral:rRNA from 3 species